rnacentral:rRNA from 1 species
AGAGUUUGAUCAUGGCUCAGAACGAACGCUGGCGGCGCGCCUAAUACAUGCAAGUCGAGCGAGAAGACGUAGCAAUACGUUUGUAAAGCGGCGAACGGGUGAGGAAUACAUGGGUAACCUACCCUCGAGUGGGGAAUAACUAGCCGAAAGGUUAGCUAAUACCGCAUACGAYUCYCGGSCUGCGGSUCGGGARAGAAAGCGAUACCGUGGGUAUCGCGCUCUUGGAUGGGCUCAUGUCCUAUCAGCUUGUUGGUGAGGUAACGGCUCACCAAGGCUUCGACGGGUAGCUGGUCUGAGAGGACGAUCAGCCACACUGGCACUGCGACACGGGCCAGACUCCUACGGGAGGCAGC